GACGAACGCUGGCGGCGUGCUUAACACAUGCAAGUCGAACGAUGAACUUGGAGCUUGCUCUGGGGGAUAAGUGGCGAACGGGUGAGUAACACGUGAGUAACCUGCCCUGGACUCUGGGAUAACUUCGAGAAAUCGGAGCUAAUACCGGAUAGGACCUUGCACCGCAUGGUGUGGGGUGGAAAGUUUUUCGGCUCAGGAUGUGCUCGCGGCCUAUCAGCUUGUUGGUGAGGUAAUGGCUCACCAAGGCUUUGACGGGUAGCCGGCCUGAGAGGGUGACCGGUCACACUGGGACUGAGACACGGCCCAGACUCCUACGGGAGGCAGCAGUGGGGAAUAUUGGACAAUGGGCGGAAGCCUGAUCCAGCCAUACCGCGUGGGUGAAGAAGGCCUUCGGGUUGUAAAGCCCUUUUGUUGGGAAAGAAAUCCAGCCGGCUAAUACCUGGUUGGGAUGACGGUACCCAAAGAAUAAGCACCGGCUAACUUCGUGCCAGCC
rnacentral:rRNA from 1 species